rnacentral:rRNA from 1 species
UGGGGAAUAUUGCACAAUGGGGGAAACCCUGAUGCAGCGACGCCGCGUGAGUGAUGAAGGCCUUCGGGUCGUAAAGCUCUGUCGUAUGGGACUAACAAAAUGAAGGUACCAUGCAAGAAAGGAUCGGCUAACUUCGUGCCAGCAGCCGCGGUAAGACGAGGGAUCCUAGCGUUGUUCGGAAUUAUUGGGCGUAAAGCGGGUGUAGGCGGACUUAUAAGUCAGGUGUGAAAUCCCAGGGCUCAACCCUGGAAGUGCACUUGAUACUGCAAGUCUUGAGUGUGGUAGAGGCUAUUAGAAUUCCUGGUGUAGUGGUGAAAUACGUAGAUAUCAGGAGGAAUACCGGAGGCGAAGGCGGAUAGCUGGGCCAACACUGACGCUGAGACCCGAAAGCGUGGGGAUCAAACAGGAUUAGAUACCCCCGUAGUCCCUGAGCGGGCUGGCAAGGCGCAU